rnacentral:rRNA from 1 species
GACGAACGCUGGCGGCGUGCCUAAUACAUGCAAGUCGAACGCAGUGGGGACGGGUGAGUAUCACGUGGGUAACCUCCCAUCAGAGGGGAUAACACUUGGAAACAGGUGCCAAUACGAUACUGACGGAUGGACUCGCGGUGCAUUAGCUAGUCGGUGAGGUAACGGCUCAGCAAGGCCACGAUGCAUAGCUGACCCGAGAGGGGGAUCGGCCACACUGGGAAGGAGACACGGCCCAGACGCCUACGGGAGGCAGCAGUAGGGAAUCUUCGGCAAUGGACGAAAGUCGGACCGAGCAACGCCGCGUGAGUGAAGAAGGUUUUCGGAUCGUAAAACUCUGUUGUUAGAGAAGCGGUAUCUAACCAGAAAGCCACGGCUAACUUCGUGCCAGCAGCCGCGGUAAUAC